rnacentral:misc_RNA from 1 species
CCGAGUUUACAACUCCCAAACCCCUGUGAACAUACCUUUACGUUGCCUCGGCGGAUCAGCCCGCGCCCCGUAAAACGGGACGGCCCGCCGCAGGAAACCCUAAACUCUGUUUUUAGUGGAACUUCUGAGUAUAAAAAACAAAUAAAUCA